AAAGUGAAAGAUAAAGUACAAUUGCGCAGAAAACAAACACCAACUGAGUGGAAAACGUGGUUACAAUUUCAAAAUCCAUUUAUCAUCACUUUUCAACAACUAAGCAGAUGCUCCUAUCCAGAGAGACAGUUAUUACCUCCAUUUUAAGAUGACUUUUGGUGAAACAACCACAUAUCACAGACAAAGUCCCUUGAAGCUGUCCUCAGACAACCCUCAACCAUCAUCACCUCUGGAUGUUCUACUACCAACAGACCUGCAGUAUUUCAACUGGGUCCCUUGAAGCUGUCCUCAGACAACCCUCAACCAUCAUCACCUCUGGAUGUUCUACCACCACCAGACCUGCAGUAAUUCAGCUGAGUGUUUUUACAGGAGUUCAUCAUUGGUGCUGUUGUGGGGAAAUGACAUAGGCCUCUCCCUUUCCAGCACACAAAUAAGAUCUGCAGCUUCUAGUGAACCGUCUAAGAGGAAGACAAUUAACAAAGUCAGAUAUGGCAACUGCUGGAAACAGACGUAGCAAGGAAAUUGGCCAUGAUAGUCCCUUGAAGCUGUCCUCAGACAACCCUCAACCAUCAUCACCUCUGGAUGUUCUACCACCACCAGACCUGCACCUCUCCCUUUCCAGCACACAACUAAGAUCUGCAGCUUCUAGUGAACCGUCUAAGAGGAAGACAAUUAACAAAGUCAGAUAUGGCAACUGCUGGAAACAGACGUAGCAAGGAAAUUGACCAUGAUAUGGGAUUGAAGUCAUCUGCUCCCCCCAAAUCCAUCAAAGCAGAAAAUAACCAGUCAGUCCAUCAGGGGUUCAAGUGACGACAGUAUGUCAUCAUCACAUGACGAGAGAUGGACAAAAGCACGAAAGGAAAUCAAGGAAAGUGUUGAAGUAUUCAGACAUCUCCUUGAUGAACAUUUGACGGACCUUCAGGCAAAAGUGAAAGAGCUUCGUCAGAUAGCUGACAGUUAUGAGACUUGGUACCAUGCCACUACUAGAGGUAGUCUGGUAGGGGGUAUUAUUGGGGCGACUGGAGGGAUCACUACUUUAGUAGGCCUUGCCCUGGCUCCAUUCACUUUCGGCUCCUCCAUGGUUGUUGCCGCGGUGGGUAUGGGAAUAGGUGUAACUGGUGGGAUUACUGGCGCUGCUUCUACCAUCACCAGCAUGGUGAGUCAAAAAAAUGACAGAGACAACAUUCAGUGCAUUCAGAAACAUUUUCUGGAAAAUGUCAAACCAAUUGAGGAAAGUUUGAGUAAAAUCAACUUGAAAGUUGAAGAAUUAAAGGCAAUGGCCAAUGAUCCAGCUAAACCAGGGGCUGAACUUUAUAAGAUAGCAUCUAGUCUGUAUUGUUUAGAACACGUGGUCUCUUUUGCUAAGCUUGCAAAUAUUGCCAAACUAGGUGCCUCAUCUUCUAAAUCUCUCCGUGCGGCAGCAGCAUUGACAGGGGUGCUCUCUAGCCUACUCCUAGUUCUUGACAUAAUGUUUAUUGUCAAGGAUGUCAAGGAACUUGAUGCAAUGGAAAAUGGAAACCAAAUUCAGUCAGACACAGUGAGGUUUAUUCAGACAAUCAGGGACAUGGCUAAACAGUAUAAGCAGGCUCUUGACACGUUUAAACAGGCAAAGGAAGAACUUGAUAGACUCGUAAAAGAAUGAACUGAAAAAAACAUUGUUUUCAUAUUAUUAUAAUCAGAUUAUACUGCUUGAAAGGGGUGUGAUUUUAUCAUUAUGUUCAGAUUAGAUAAUGUAUUCGACAAGGUAACUGUAUCCUGGGUUUAGAACUGUAGUGUAUGAACUAUGUAUAUGGACAUAUCAAGAUACAUGGUGGUAUUAUCCAUGACAUAUGGUCUAUCUUGAUUUUAUAUUUGUACAGAAACAUAGUGUUUGAUCUUUCUUACCUUUUAUAAUGUUAUUUGUUAAAUAUUUUGAACUGAAUUUGUUGAAAGAAAUGUGCUAAUGUGUGUUUGAUUGACUGGUUUUAUCUACUUGAAUUGAAAUAAUAUAUGACUAAUGUAUACAUUGAAAUGUACAUGGAUAGAAAUAGCUUGUAAUCUAGCUAAAGUAUGUGUCCUGAGGAUGUACAAGUAAAAAUGUUACCUAAAUGUAAAAUAUGCAUUUCACAUGUAAUUAACUGUAAAUAUCAACAUAUCAGCUAGGUCCCAAUGUACCAUAUAUGCCUUGGCAGUACUUUGAGGAAGUCAGCUAAGCAAUGUUCGUUAUUGAUGUUAAUUUUCUCCAAUUUUUUGAAGCACUUUGAAAUUCAUCAUCUGUAAGAAAUGUCCCAUAUAAACAAAGUUUGAUUAAACUGAACUUUUAUGUCUCUUAUGAAAAGUACAUUAACAGCAAAUGUAAA